GUGAAUCAUCAAAUUUUUGAACGCAAAUUGCACUCCCUGGUAUUCCGGGGAGUAUGCCUGUUUGAGGGUCGUUAGAAGAAUAAUCGAUGCAUCGCUCUUUUUUUUGAGGGUGAUCGCGUCGGAAUUGAGCCGUCUUACAAAUGAUAAUUCAUGCCAAAGUGGCUUGAAAUGCAUCCAACAGGUACGAUUAAAGCGUAUUGAAGAUCACUCUUGAUUAAGAACGCCCAAAU
rnacentral:misc_RNA from 1 species